UACGUAGGGUGCAAGCGUUAAUCGGAAUUACUGGGCGUAAAGCGUGCGCAGGCGGCUUUGCAAGACAGAUGUGAAAUCCCCGGGCUUAACCUGGGAACUGCAUUUGUGACUGCAUGGCUGGAGUGCGGCAGAGGGGGAUGGAAUUCCGCGUGUAGCAGUGAAAUGCGUAGAUAUGCGGAGGAACACCGAUGGCGAAGGCAAUCCCCUGGGCUAACACUGACGCUCAGGCACGAAAGCGUGGGGAGCAAACAGG
rnacentral:rRNA from 1 species